GUUUGAGCAUUUCACAGUGUUCGAUGUGGUAACUGUGAAAAUACUUCCUCCCAUUUGUCAUGGGGCCUUCUUUAACAUCUAAACUCCUCUAAACCUCACAUCCCAUUGGCAGAAAAAGCAAGUGUACAUGGAGCUGUUUUUAAAAACUCUGUUAAAACUAUUGGGUUGUCCGGAAAAUAAUGCAGGAGCAUUUCAUUCUUUGGGAAAAAUUCAAUUUUAGCAAGAUGACAACGCGUGAUUUUCGCGACAUUUCGUUUCACGAGUUUAAACUCGGUCGGAACGGUGCCCAAACGGCUAGAGGCAAAUAAGAUUUAUUGUUCUUCUUCUGCGGAUGUAAUUAAGUAUAUACCUUCACGAGGCUUGCUGAGUUGGAGUUGCUGCCUUCAACAAAACCCAAGUAGCAAGGAACUGCCAUUACAGAACGUUAAUGAUUUACUGUGGAACGCCUCCUGAUGAACCAUACAGCAUGGGGCGUACUACCCUGAAGUAGGCCAUCUCCAGAUUUGAGGCCAACCCUCACUUCAUCUGUAAAGAGGACUCCCCCCCCCAAUAUUUCAAUGUCCGAUUUACAUGUUCCCGUUCAAAUUGAAGCAUGGUCAUGUUGUGAGCUGUGGUAAGAAGAGGUCCACAAGCCGGGUGGCCGGCCCUGAGGUUAAUUUUAUUAGCCGUCUUCUUACUGUCCUGGAGGAAAUCGAAACAUUUAGGACUUGUCUUAUCAGAUUUUUUAUCUACUUUCUCCUAAUGCUGCGGCUGCCUGAUGACAGAUGAAUCUAUCGUCUCUCUUGUCUGUAGACCUAGAUCGACCCUUCUUGUAUGAAGAUCUGUUUCUCUGAAGCGUCGAAGCAACCUUCCCAUUGUUGGGUGAUUUGCACUCAGUCUUCUGGCGACUUUGCGGUGGCUGUAUCCUUCCUCUAAUAAUGUUAUGACCCUGACACUAUCAUACUCACUCAAAUGCCUGACUGGAGCCAUUGCAAAAGUUUUAAGAAUAAGAAUAAUAUCAAAUGAUAUCAACAAAGGAAAAGGAUUCGUUGAAAGCAAUCUUUAGGUGUGGCUGAAUGGAAUGGCUUCCUAAUUUUUGUGCAAAUGGGAUUAGUU